rnacentral:rRNA from 1 species
AUGCCACCCACCAGACCUCUCCUCCACCGCGCACACACGCAUGUUCGUUCCCGGCCACCAGUCGCCUCCGACUCCGCGCGACGCACGCGCCCGCGAAAGUCGCCGCUGGAGGAGGACCCCGCGACGGCGCUCCCGGACGGCAUGCUCCUUGAGGUCUUCAAGCGGCUGCCGCCCCUCACAGAUGCCAUGCGCUGUGCCGCGGUGUGCUGGCGCUGGCGCCGCAUAGUCUCCUCUGGCGCACGCGUGGGCUGCCUCCCGGCCCCGCCCUGCCACUUCGGCUUCUUCCACAACUACCACACAUCUCCUCUGCCCCUGUUUGUCGCCACCGAGUCCAGCGUCGAUCUGGACGUCGGCGGCCUCCUCCCUCGUGUGGUGUCGAAGCGCGGCGUCGACAUCGUCGACGGCCGCGGCGGCCUGCUCGUCCUGCGCGAGCGCAGCAAAAAGUUCUGGGAGCUGAAUCUCGUCCUCUGCAGCCCGCUGGAGAGAUCAUACCGGCGGUUGCCGUCGGUGAAUAACUGA